rnacentral:misc_RNA from 1 species
AAGUCGUAACAAGGUUUCCGUAGGUGAACCUGCAGAAGGAUCAUUAACACGUAUCCAAACGUUAAAACCCACCCCGUGAACCUUCAUCCUGCUCUUGUAACCGCGUAGUUCGCAAUCUCUGAUAAAUCAUAGCCCGGAAAGUUGUAGUGAUUCAGAGACCUCUGGCUACGUGCGAACAUUGGAACAGUUGCAAUCGAGCGGUAGUUCAAAAGGCAAUGUUUUCUCAAGCGGUCUACAGGAAUCGUAGAAGCGCUAUCCUUGCACAAUCAAUGACACCGUACACUCGGGCAGGAGCUUUGCCAAAGGGUCCCCAUGCCCCCUAAUAACCGUAAUAACCGAACAAACUGUUAACAAUGGAUAUCUUGGUUCUC